AAGAUUGUUAAACAUUAAAACUUUUAGUCUAUUCCUUCUUCAUGACACAUUCAUUCAAACAUGCACAGUUCACACUAUUCAGCUGCUUAGAUUAGAGUUGUAAGGUGUAACAGUUAUCCUGUCAUGCUGUCUUCAGGUCAUUUAUAAAUGAUUAGCAAGCUCGAGGCACUCCAUAUAUUAUUGAUUUCAGAGUUGUAAACACUGUUCUCGGUUUUAGGCAGCACAUAUGGUUUU
rnacentral:lncRNA from 1 species